GGAAAACAUGGGAAAAUCACACAACAACGACCCGACCUGGAGCAUGCAUCUCCAACUACAUACAGCUCUUAAUUCCAAAAACAAACCGAAAACACAGCUUCGUAUCUGUGUGGACUUUGACAAGCUGGAAGCCCAAAACUGUGAGAGGAUGCCAUUUUUUCCAGAGGAAAGCAAUGCACACACACACACCUGGCCAUCCACAUGAUGUAAAACAAAACAUGAUUAUUCAUACCAGGCUAUUUACAUGCUUUUGGUGGUGGACAGGGGUCAGCAUGGGCUCUCUGACUGUAGCUUUUCUGUGGGAUGGGACCAGCUAGGCUAGCCUUCGCUCCCCACACACCUCAUUGUGCAUUUGGUGCCCAUGACCUUGUCGCUGGAUCACCUGUUGUCUUUCCUUGGUACACUUUGGAGCUUAAGGAACGGAGAAACCUGGUCAUUACUGGCCUCAUGUCUGAGACCAUUGAAAUUGUUUGUCCUGUUAAACACUAUUGUAACUGCAUUUGCACUGUCACCCUGUGCAUCAUUUGGAGGCUGCACAUUGCUGCUGAGGAUGGCCCCACUUGGACAGCCUAGAAAUACAUGGGAUUACUGUGGAUAGUAUCAAGCUAUUCCCUGCUCAAGUUUUCAUCUUUGAACAUUUGAUUACUUCAACAGAAUUAAUUUAUGUUAAAACUAUAAUACAUUCAGGGUUGGUACAACUUCAGGACAUUAUAAUACUGGAAAUAUCCACAGCUCGGGUGAACUUGGCACAAAUAUGUACAUUAAAGAUCUGGACUAUACAGUGCCCUCCACAAUUGUUGGCACCCCUGGUUAAGAUGUGUUCUUAGGCUUCUAAUAAUAAUAAUAAUAAUAAUAAUAAUCCAUUUUUUAUUGCAAAAGCAUAAUCUCAUACUGAAAAUUGUAGAAAACGCUAACCUUUAACUCAAGUGAAUUUAAAAAAAUACAAAAAAAUCCAUGACUAAAAAAUAAUUUUUUAUUUAAUUACCUGUUCCACAAUUAUUGGCACCCCUAACAAUUCCUAUAAAAUAAAUGUAAUUGAAGCAUUUUUGUAAUUUUUAUUGUAGUUUUUAAAGUUGAUCAGAGUAUCCAGAAACUUUUAAUUAAUAAUUCAUGACUUCCUGUUUCCCUAGGGUAUAAAUAUGAUGUGAUACAGAGGCCUAUUUCUCUUAUCCACUAUUCAACAUGGGAAAGACAAGAGAACACCCCAUUCAAGUAAGGCAGAUGUGUGUCGACCUUCAUAAGUCAGGCAAUGGCUACAGGAAAAUAGCCACUCACCUAAACCUGCCCGUAUCUACACUCAGAGGAAUAAUUAAGAAGUUUAAAACAACUGGAACAGUGACAAACAAGGCUGGACGAGGACCCAAGUUUAUCUUGCCACCACGCACGGUGAGGAGGAUGGUACGAAAAGUAAAAAAAUCUCCAAAGCUCACUGUUAGAGAACUGCAUCAAAGAAUGGCAUCUUGGGGUCACAAAGUCUCCAUAACAACCAUCAGAUGCUAUCUACAUGCCAACAAGCUGUUUGGGAGGCAUGCAAGGAAAAAGCCUUUUCUCACCUACAAUCACAAACGUAAACGUCUGGAGUUUGCUAAGCAGUACUGGGACUUCAACAGGGACCGUGUGUUUUGGUCAGAUGAGACAAAGAUAGAGCUUUUUGGCAACAAACACUAAGUGGGUCUGGAGUAAAACAAAAGAUGAAUAUGUGGAAAAGCACCUCAUGCCCACUGUGAAGUAUGGUGGAGGAUCUGUGAUGCUGUGGGCCUGUUUCUCUUCCAAAGGCCCUGGGAACCUUGUGAGAGUGCAUGGCAUCAUGAACUCUUUGAAAUACCAGGAAAUCAAAACCUGAUGGCCUCUGUCAGAAAGCUGAAGAUGGGUCUUUCAGCAGGAUAGUGACCCAAAACAUGAAUAAUUGUAUUUCAAUUAAAGGAUGGAUUUUUCUCUUUUUUUUGCAUUGUGGUUCUAUAUUGUUUUUUUGUUUUUGUUUUUUAAAAAUGAAUUUAUUAGAAGCCUAAGAACACAUCUUAACCAGGGGUGCCAAUAAUUGUGGAGGGAGCUGUAGCUGCUGAGAUCUCCAAGUAUAUUGCACAAAACUAUCUUUCUAUCCAUUAGCUACCCCAUUUUAA